rnacentral:lncRNA from 1 species
ACCUAUGCUCAAAACUUUUCUCUCUUUCUCUCUUACAUGGAAAGUGAUUGUGGAUCAAGUCAAAGUAGGAAUUAGUUUGGAUUUCAAAUUCUAUGAGAUAGAGUUUUAGGAAACCAAAACUCUUUCCUUAUGGCACUGAUUUUACUCAAAUUUUUUUUGAGAUUUUUAUGACUUUUAUGGCACAUAAUAUACAUCCUUUGCUGGUAGUCCAUGUAUAAAAAGAAAGAGGGGGCACCCAAGAAUUGGGCCCCCCUUGUCUUGCCAUGUUUGGAUAAUCCUUGACUAGGUAUUUGACCUAGACAAGG